AUAUUUACUACUUUAACUACUACAUUACAAAGGGUGCCUUCAACUUCAUGGACAAAAGCCCUCUCACCAAUUUGACAAGAAUUCCUUCUUCUUUAAUUUUAUGUUAUUUCUUUGCGUUAGGUUGAACUGUCUUUCCCUCCAUGAAUUGCAAUGAGUAGGAGCCCUUCAUCAAUGGGAAAAGGUGCUCCUCAGUAAUUAACAAAGCCACUCACUCAAUGGGCUGAAAGUUAAAUAACAUUUUCACCAUACUCCUAUUAUAGUAUUAAUCUCCUCAAUCCCAAUCUAAUUAGAAAUUCCACUAAAUUAAGAUAUAACACUAAUAGGAGUUUUACCCUAUAUAGGAAAUAUUCCUCCAUACUAUUGAGGAAUAUUUCUUCAACUCAAAUUAG
rnacentral:misc_RNA from 1 species